AAUGAAUGGAGGGCGGCGGCGACUGCUGCAGCUGGGCCAGCUGCGCGGGCUGCACCCCCUCCCAGCCUGCGAGAGGAGGAAGCUAGUAGAAGAUUUGUACCAACAAAACCAAGGAGUAAACAACUUGAGAAUAACUGCGUGAGCUCAGGGCUUGGACUGUCAGAUUCCAUUUCUAAGCUUCCAGAAGAGCAACACAUAGACACUGGGGAAGUCAGAGCCUUUGAACUCCAAUGCCAUCCCCGUCACCCACCUCCACCACCAGCACCACCACCGAAUGGCACUUUGGACAAUUUUUCCCUCUCAUGUGACCUGUCAUUUCUUAUGUCAGUUGGAGCCAGCACCUCUCAAAUCCAUCUUCUAAAACCCAGAAAAUUGUGUGUAACACAUGAUGACUGAAAGGGAGUAGGCUGACCAGUUAAGAGCCUGCCACUGGAAUGGAGGGCUGUGGGAGGGUGAGGGGAUGGUGGACAUCAACCGGGAAGAGCCAAAAGAUAGCGUUACCAGGACAACUUCCAGUAAAAGAAGGCACUGAGAAUUAAGUGCUAUGUGGGAGUAGUUGCCAAUUUUUGCAAUGGGAGGCUGCAUAGAUUCAAGGACUUCCUCGGGUGCUCCAGGAGCUUGUCAUUCCAGAGGCAGAGCAGCCCAGAAGUCCUGGGAUUUACACC